rnacentral:rRNA from 1 species
UACGUAGGGGGCAAGCGUUGUCCGGAUUGACUGGGCGUAAAGGGUGCGUAGGCGGUUUGGUAAGUCAAAUGUGAAAGCCUGUAGCUCAACUACAGAACUGCAUUUGAUACUGCUAGACUCGAGUUCGGGAGAGGCAAGUGGAAUUCCUAGUGUAGCGGUGGAAUGCGUAGAUAUUAGGAGGAACACCAGUGGCGAAGGCGGCUUGCUGGAACGAUACUGACGCUGAGGCACGAAAGCGUGGGGAGCAAAC